ACGACAAUUUGAAAUGCGGUCCAGCUGUCAGUUUCCUCUUCUUUCUUUUCCCUUCUUUCUCGCGCACUGUGGGACGGACGAGGGGGAGAAAAGAAAAGGAAAAGUUUCUCGGGUAACGGGAGGAAAUGCGAACGGAGAUCCAAAAAGAGGAGAAAAAUCUAACGCAAUAAACGAAUGGCGACGAGCCGGAGACGGACGCAACAAAAGAAGUUGAAUCGAAUCAGCCGAGCGGAAAAAAAAUCGGGAGGAAAAGAAAAAAAAAAGGAUCGAAUUUGGAUUCCUUUAUCGACGUAGGGAGGACAGUGUCAGUGUCCUCUGUCGAAAAUAACAGAUGGAGGAAGAUGAAUGUAAUCAGAGGGAAUGAAACAAAACAUUACUGAAAGGAAACAAAAACAAGAAACGUGGAAGGAAAAGGAGAGAGAAACGCACACGGAAAAAGAGAAAUGGACAAAAAAAAAAAGGAAAAGAAGAAAGAAAAGAAAACAAAAAGGGAAUGAUUAGCCGUUCUCGUUAUUCCUCAGACUGGGCACGACGAGUAACAAGCCUCUUUGCUCGUCCGUCAGCACAGGCUUGGGCUUCUGCUGCUGAUGUUUUCGUUGCUUCGGCUGGACCAUUUUGAGAGCGCCCGACUUGUUGUCAAUCCUAUGGCCGACGUUGUUGCUUCCCAUCGGCGCUCUUUCUUCUCGUCGGUGCACAUUCACAUUUUCUAUCGUCUUUGCCUCGCUAAUGUUCUCCUUUUGAUUUCGCUUUUUUUUUUCAAAACUAGGCCUCUUCACUUGGAAGUUUCCAAUUCGUCGUGAGACGUUUGAAAUCGCUUUAAUUUCAAACUGCAAUUGGAGAGAUGCAAUUGCAAAGCUGCGUGUAUGUAACUCAACACUUUUCUUGUUUCACUUUUGUUUCUCCUUUUUAUUUUUUGUUUAGGUGUGGCUUGCUGGACCCACACGUAGAGACGCACACACACAUACACACAGACACACAACCGUCCGGGCGGAAAAUCCACUCUAGACUAGAAAAGCCAUAUCAACUUCUGAACCUGAAAUACAAACGGCCAACGACGAUGAUGCUUCCUCUAUGUGUACGGUUCGACGCAUGCGCAAUGCUCCAAACUCACGCCGGAAAAAAAAAAAAAAAGCAAACAAGAGAGGAUGAGAUGGUGAGAAAUGCACUAAAAGUUAUUUAUUAAAACUCUACGAUCCUGGAAAAGAAAAAAACAAACAAACAUGGAAAACGGAAGGAAGACAUUCGAUGUACGGCCGUUUUCUGCAGUCAUCAAUCUUCCAU